UACGAAGGGGGGCGAGCGUUGUUCGGAAUUACUGGGGCGUAAAGGGCGCGUAGGCGGCGACCCAAGUCAGAUGUGAAAGUCCUGGGCUUAACCUGGGGACUGCAUUUGAUACUGGGUUGCUUGAAUUCGGGAGAGGAUAGCGGAAUUCCCAGUGUAGAGGUGAAAUUCGUAGAUAUUGGGGAAGAACACCGGUGGCGAAGGCGGCUAUCUGGACCGACAUUGACGCUGAGGCGCGAAAGCGUGGGGAGCAAACAGG
rnacentral:rRNA from 1 species